UGAAAUCACCACUUCCGGGUCAGCUGAUGCUCCCGCCCCUGAGCCUCUCAGGAGGCUCCACCCAGAGGACGCAGAGCAGUGACGUCAAUGAUGGACCCGUAUGUUGUCGCUGCUGGUGCCCAGGCGAGGCAGUGUGGAAGGCCUUUUUGUCUAGGGCUUUGCUGAGACCACCUCUGCGCUUGGUAAAAACCAUGAACAAUCACAGGUCCUGUGUGUAGGUGUUUUUGGUGUCUGGUAUGUUUGCGCCCUUCACCACUGAAGCAUUCUUUGCAUUUAUGGAAUGAUCUUCAAUUUCACUUCAGGGAGCAAUGCACCUUAAUGGCUUUCUACUGCUGCAGUAUCCUUUAUGCUCCUGGGAACCACCUUCCUCCUCUGCUUCUGUUUACAUUUUCUGAUUCCACAUACAGAUGAUUAGAAGCCAGCACUGUAGUAGAGUUGAUGCCAGAUGACAGAGUUGUUUUUCAGUGGUUUCUGCCUCAUCUUCCUCAGCUGACAGGUGAUGAGUGAACCAGGUCGCAUGCAGUGGAAAUCUGGGGACUUCUUCCCCCGCAACCCUGAAACCCAUGAACACUGGUUCCCUGAUUGUGUCUGGUGCCAUUCGUCUAAUCACCUCCAAAGCGACAGAAUCUGAAUUCAGCUCAAGUAGGUUCAGAAUGCAUUGUGCUUCCAAAAACAAUGGUAAAAUCCUAGUA